UAGUAGGGGAGUAUUUUAAUAAGAU
rnacentral:piRNA from 1 species